GCCCGCGCACUCCCCUGCAGCCUCGCGCGGGCUCAGUCCCACCGCGGACCCCGCCUCCGGGAAGGCGCCCCGCGUUCCCCCUUCCGCCUCGGGCAGCGGGGCGGGGUACGCGAAGUAGCGACUUUCUGCGGUACCUUUACGCAGGGUCGCCAUCUAGUGACGGCAGGAUAUACUGCUGCGUUCGGCCGCGAAGCCGGCCGACGCUACAAGUUGGGAACGUUUCUGAAUACUUCAUGUGCAAAGACACAUCUCCAGACUGAAAGGUCAUUACAGUCCCAGUGGACAAAGAUUAAGGAGAAGCCAGCCGUGCUUUGGUUUAUGCUUUUAGAACUCUUGGGCCUGUUCACGUGGGUCAGAUACCAUCACUCUUCCCGGGCCAGUGAACGCCAUGGUGUGGGGGCAGGAAGGAGUGACAAGGGUGCCUGCUGAGCCACUCCCUGGAACCAGCCCCUGACCUGGAACUGGACUUAGAGGCCCUGUGCCCAGCCCCUGAGACUGGUAAAGACACUGCUCAGUAACGCAGUUAACAAACGAAGAGAUGGUCAAGUUCACCCAUAACUAAAGAAAUGCAAGUUGAUGUUUCACAUUUUUGCCCAUCAGAUUGAUAAAGAAUAAGAAAAUUGAUCAUAUCAAGUGCUGGGGAGGCUGUGGGGAACAACCCCUCAUCCACUGUUUGUUCAGCUUCUUAUGAAGAAUUUGGGGACUUUCGACACUGUCCAUCAAAUACAAAACUGUGACCACCCUUUGGCUCAGCAGUUUCAUUUUAACGAAGCUAUCUGAAGAUAACAUCGGUUUGAUUUUUAA